rnacentral:rRNA from 1 species
GAUGAACGCUGGCGGCGUGCUUAAUACAUGCAAGUCGAACGAAGACAGUAGCAAUAUUGUCCGAGUGGCGAACGGGUGAGUAACGCGUUGGUGACCUGCACCGAAGAGAGGGAUAACAGUCCGAAAGGAUUGCUAAUACCCCAUGUGGUCGUUGGGAUUAUACGCAUUAUGACUAAACGGAUUUAUUCGCUUCGGGAGGGGCCUGCGUCCCCUCAGCUAGUUGGUAGGGUAAUGGCCGACCAAGGCGAUGACGGGUAGGGGACCUGAGAGGGUGGCCCCCCACAAUGGAACUGAAACACGGUCCAUACACCUACGGGUGGCAGCAGUAGGGAAUAUUGGUUAAUCUGGGAAACCGGGAACCAGCAACGCCGCGUGCACGAUGAAGGCCUUCGGGUUGUAAAGUGCUUUUUGAAAGGAUGAGGAAGGACAGUACUUUCAGAAUAAGCUUCGGCUAACUACGUGCCAGCAGCAGCCGCGGUAA